UACGGAGGGGGCUAGCGUUGUUCGGAAUUACUGGGCGUAAAGCGCGCGUAGGCGGCUUUGUAAGUUAGAGGUGAAAGCCCAGGGCUUAACCCUGGAAUUGCCUUUAAGACUGCAUCGCUAGAAUCGUGGAGAGGUGAGUGGAAUUCCGAGUGUAGAGGUGAAAUUCGUAGAUAUUCGGAGGAACACCAGUGGCGAAGGCGACUCACUGGACACGUAUUGACGCUGAGGUGCGAAAGCGUGGGGAGCAAACAGG
rnacentral:rRNA from 1 species